ensembl:lncRNA
UUUUCGUCUUUUGUCUUUUGAGGGCCGCUCCCGUGACAUAUAGAGGUUCCCGGGCUAGAGGUGGAAUCAGAGCUACACCUGCCAGGCUACACCAGAGCCACAGCAACACCAGAUCCGAGCCGUGAUGGCAACCUACACCACAGCUCAUAGCAACAGUGGAUCCUUAACCCACUGAGCAAGGCCAGGGGUUGAACCCACAACCUCAUGGUUCCUAGUCAGAUUCAUUUCUGCUGCGUUGCGACAGGAACUCCUAAAUGUAAUAGUUUAUAAAUUCCAUUUUGCUCAAUUCCCACCAAUAAAAUGAAAGGGUAUAUUUGUAAUUAUAUGCAUUGCACUAUAAAAUUUAUUCCUGAUAGGAGAGUCUUUCCAUUCUGAUGCAACAUUCAUAGACACUGUAUGUCAUGUACAAUUUUAUAUGUUUGAUGACUUAAAUAAUUGUACACGGGGUAGCUUCUAGUAGCUUCUGGCUCUGUUUCAAACCUCAUUUCUCCCCCACCACUCACCUCCCCGCCCAGUUCCAGGCACAGGAAGGCAUGCUCCUAUAACCAGACAGAGCUCUCCAAAACUAUAAUCAAGAGGUAAACUGAAAAUAAAUAAACAAAUAAAUGGGAGUUCCUGUCAUGGCGCAGUGGAAACGAAUCCGACUAGGAAACAUGAGGAAGUAGGUUCAAUCCCUGGCCUUGCUCAGUGGAUUAAGGAUCUGGUGUUGCCAAGAGCUAUGGUAAGGGUCCCAGACACAGUUCGGAUCCUGUGUUGCUGUGGCUGUGGAAAUGGCUGGAAACGGCUGGCAGCCGUAGCUCUGAUUUGAUCCCUAGGCCUGGGAACUUCCAUAUACUGCAGGUGCAGUCCUAAAAAGCAAAUAAUAAUAAUAAUAAUAAUUAAAAGAUUACCAGUUCAUAUAAUUAUUUUUAAGAUUCUAGUUUACACCCUUUUUUCCAGGCAUAUAUUUAUUUUACAAAAGUGGCACCUGCCCCUAGUUUUCUAAACUAUGUCUGUGAGUAUGCAUGUCUAAUAUCCUAUCAUGAUGUUCUUUUUACACUAUUGAUGGUGGCAUAGGCAUUCCAUUGUGUGUAUGUACCAUAAUUUUUUUUUUUACCUUUUUACAGCCACACCUGUGGCAUAUGGAAAUUCCUGGGCCAGAGGUUGAAUAGGAGCUGCAGCUCCGGCCUACACCACAGCCACAGCAACACAGGACACAAGCCACAUCUGCGACCUAUGCCACAGCCUGCGGCAACACCAGAUCCUAAUCCACUGAUCGAGGCCAGGACCAAACCCACAACCUUACAGAGACACUGUCAGGUCCUCAACCUGCUGAGCUACACCAAAAACUCCUGUACCAUAAAUGAAAUGAUCUUAUAUGGCUGGACUUUCCAUCCAAUUAUAUUUUAUUAUAUUUUAACCAAUAUAAUUACAGUGAUAAAUACCAGGAUGAACAUCAUUAUGUAUAUCGAUUUGCUCAUUUGGCUGAAUACAUCAUAGGAUAAAUUAUUCAGAAUUAUGGAGUCCAAAGGUAUGAUGUGGUAUCUUUAAGUAUUUUGGUUUUAAUUGCAAAAUCGCUCUCAAGGAAGCCAGCUGCACCAUCCUUUUCCCACAGGCAGUGCAUAAAACUCUGUUUCUCUGGCCUUCUGAUGCUAGGUAUUAUUCUUUUAAUCUUUGCCAAUCUGAUAAGCCAAAGAAGAAAACUUAUUUGAUUUUUUUGGUGCACUUUUGAUGACUGAGUUAAAGUGGACACAGUGGCUUCUUAUCGAAUGCUUGGCUUUCUCAGAGCACAGGAAACGUCUUUCCUAUUUUACUCAAACACAGGCUUGUGAGGUCCCUGAGCCCCUGGAAUGACAGGCAACAGCCUCCACUCCUUCUCCCCAGCUGAUUAAUCGACCUAAUAUGUCAGUGGAUUAAAUUCUCCUCCUCGCCUGCUUCAGUGACAGCCCAUUACUCAAGCAGCACAGGUAGCCCACAUUUCAGCUGUCUGCCCAAUCCCAGCUCCUGUUUAGACAUAACAACUUGUCUUCCGUUGGCUAUUUUCAACCCUGGCUGCACAUCAGAAUCACCUAGGCAGUUUUUUAGUCUUUAACUUAAAUUUUAUUUUCUUCUAUGAGUAAGUA